rnacentral:lncRNA from 1 species
CAGCGAUAUCACUCAGGUUGCAAGGACCGUCGAGUACAAAUGGUACUGGUCGUGUUGAAGUGUUCUUUGCAGGUCAAUGGGGAACAAUCUGUGAUGAUGCUUGGGAUAUAAGAGAUGCUAGAGUUGUAUGUCGUCAACUUGGUUAUCUGAAUGCUGUUGCAGCUCUUGGAGGGCAUAAAGUUCCUGAUGGUUCUGAAAAGAUUUGGUUAGACACUGUACGUUGUAAGGGAAGUGAAAAAAAUUUGAGCACAUGUUCACAUGACAAAUGGGGAAGCCAUAAUUGCGGGCACAGUGAGGAUGCUGGAGUUGAAUGUUCUAAUACAG